rnacentral:rRNA from 1 species
UACGGAGGGGGCUAGCGUUGUUCGGAAUUACUGGGCGUAAAGCGCACGUAGGCGGCUUUGUAAGUUAGAGGUGAAAGCCCGGAGCUCAACUUCGGAAUUGCCUUUAAGACUGUAUCGCUUGAAUCAUGGAGAGGUCAGUGGAAUUCCGAGUGUAGAGGUGAAAUUCGUAGAUAUUCGGAAGAACACCAGUGGCGAAGGCGACUGACUGGACAUGUAUUGACGCUGAGGUGCGAAAGCGUGGGGAGCAAACAGG